rnacentral:rRNA from 1 species
GGUGAUCCUGCCAGUAGUCAUAUGCUUGUCUCAAAGAUUAAGCCAUGCAUGUGUAAGUAUAAGCAAUUUAUACAGUGAAACUGCGAAUGGCUCAUUAAAUCAGUUAUCGUUUAUUUGAUAGUUCCUUUACUACAUGGUAUAACUGUGGUAAUUCUAGAGCUAAUACAUGCUUAAAAUCUCGACCCUUUGGAAGAGAUGUAUUUAUUAGAUAAAAAAUCAAUGUCUUCGGACUCUUUGAUGAUUCAUAAUAACUUUUCGAAUCGCAUGGCCUUGUGCUGGCGAUGGUUCAUUCAAAUUUCUGCCCUAUCAACUUUCGAUGGUAGGAUAGUGGCCUACCAUGGUUUCAACGGGUAACGGGGAAUAAGGGUUCGAUUCCGGAGAGGGAGCCUGAGAAACGGCUACCACAUCCAAGGAAGGCAGCAGGCGCGCAAAUUACCCAAUCCUAAUUCAGGGAGGUAGUGACAAUAAAUAACGAUACAGGGCCCAUUCGGGUCUUGUAAUUGGAAUGAGUACAAUGUAAAUACCUUAACGAGGAACAAUUGGAGGGCAAGUCUGGUGCCA